CGAAACUCCCCAAGACUGUUUAAAUCGACGGCCAUGCACUUCUCCUCACCACUUGUUUCAAUGAUUUCAACGACGAUUUUCAGUAGAGACUUCCACCUGCCUAUGAAACUUUCUAUGGAGCAGCUGAAGAUCCUCGCGCUCUACAACCAAACCUUCCCAUUUACGCAGGGUUUCUCAUCUUCAAUUGAUGCCACUGCGUGGGAUAGUCGGAGGAUUUUUUCCGAGAUGACACUCGCCAGAACCGUUGAUGUUGGUGGCCAAUGAGAAUUCAUUAUAUAUUUUUGUUGACGAGGAGGAUGUGCCGCUCAUGGCUUCUGAGGAAAGCCCCACUCCUAAGGACGAAUGUCCUAUCAAGAAUCUCGGCUGCCUUUGUGCUUGUACUCGCAUCCUGAAGGUAAAUUGCUUACCGAUGGGUCUUAGCAAAUUUUGGUAAAUGUUUACUGCGUUUGAGCAAUAGCUUCGUCCUGCAAAAACUGAUGGCAGCCUUUGAUAUUAGAAUUCUUCUACAGUCCGACUCCAGAUUCACUCUCCAUAUAAGUCUGCGCUUAGAAAUAUCUCUCUCUGUAUAUUUGCUUAAUCACCAUUGCCGCCAGAGUUACCUCCUUUUCUUCAGGAUCCGGAAAAUAGAGUGACCCGAGUUCUGUGUUCGGUACUAAAGCAAGUGGUUAGUAACUCAGACCGUUCUCUAAAGUCUCUUCGUGGGUUUCACUAUGAGACAUUGGAUGAUCAAGAGAAGCAACAGGUGACGAGGAUGAUUGCAAGUGUACAAGCCGGAAACUGUUGAUCAUUUAGAUGAGAUGGCUGAGCCAACGGAAAUGGAGAUUUAUCUGGGAAACGGCGAUGAUUCUGUUGGCGCUCAUUUUAGUUACAUUGUUUUGGAGCCAAUCUCAUGGCCUUUAGAGUCCCAACUAACUCUUGAAUGGGUUAAGACUUUGCUGGGUUUAUUGAACCAGUUCACGUGGAAGAACUCCGUAGUUCCCUUUAAUAUUACCACAUUCUGUAGCUCUUUCCCUGGUGGAUUGUGCUUCCCAGAAUGUAGACAAAGAAGCUAAUUGCGUUAAAAUCAAUUGCUGUGGUGAGGAUUCUAGAGUGAUUCUGGUUGGGGAUCUCCAUGGUCAACUACACGAUCUCCUCAAAAUCUUUGAUCCAUCAGGAAGGCCUUCACAAAACCAAUGCUUUGUGUUCAACGAGUCUGAUGCCUCAGAGUGCAUGUUUACUUCGACGAAGCUCUGAAACAAGGGUAUCCGCAGAAGAGCCUGAUUUCUUGAAAGAAACAUGUCACAGAUAUGCUUAGCACGGUCCAGUGCUAUACUCCAAGUGUAUCGAUUGUUUCAAACUAUUACCUUUGGCAUGUGAUAUCAGAUAGCGUCUUCACAACUCAUGGAGGUCUCAUUCAAAGCUCUCGGGUACAUGAAGAUAGCUCCAAUCCAUCUUUGUUGUUGGGUUCUUUAGAGGAACUUGACAAGAUUGAGAGGACACAAGUUGGUGAGAACGAUGAUGAGAAUAUCACUCUUAACCAUGUUUUAUGGUCAUCUCCAUGGAUGGCUGAUGAUCUGAGCGAAGUGUGAAAAAUAGGGUGAAGUCCGAAGUGUGGCGGUAUGGUACGUCGAAGGUAAUUUAAAAACAAUGCGCCAAAAAGACGAGGAAGGAAAAUCAGAAGAGUUCCAUGAUAAUCAAGAAGUGAAAAUGGUUUACUGGGCAAAUAUCUUUUCAUCAAGCGUAGUUAAUAUGUGUAAAUAGUUACGAAUAUUAAAUAUCCGUAAAUGCAACAACAGGCAUCUCUGCAUCUUUAAAAAUUAUGGAGU